rnacentral:lncRNA from 1 species
GGGGGCAAGAGCCUUCCUUGGAUGGCUCUGCAAUAAACCUUUUUUUUUUUUUUUGCUCCAAACUCCCACAUUUUGUUUGGCUUCACCUCUCAUCCAGCACACAAACUUAGCUUUGGUCACAGACAUUCAUCUUCUUGCUACGCAUGGCAAGCCGCGGGGCGGUGACAGCAGCGGUGACAGUCAGCAUCUAUGGGGAAUUAACAUCUCUGAUUGAGCUGGGGACAGAUGUGCUAGGGUUUCCCCCAGAUUCCUAUUGCCGGCCAUGUGCUUGUCAACUUUUUAUAAUUAUAAAUUGCUUUUUUUUUUUGAAGAGAAAGAAGCCUGGGACAGUGUUGGGGGCUGAGUCGUGCCUUCUCAAAAUGCUAUGUUGGGGUCCGAACCCCCAGGGCCUCAGACUGUGACCGUUUGGGGACAGGAUCUUUAAAGAGCUGGCUAAGGUAAAAUUGUGCCAUAUGGGCGGGCCCUACUCCACGCUGACCCGUGUCCUUAUAAGAAGAGGAGAUCAGGACACAGACCCACGGAGGGACAACCAUCGCACACCAAGGAGAGAGGCCUCAGGAGAAACCAACCUUUGAUCUUGGACUUCUGGCCCCAGAGCCACGAGGGGCUACAUGUCUAUUCACGUCUCCUGGUCUGCGGCGCUUGGUUGUACAAACAUGAAGCAUCACGUAAGCAUUUUCUUGGCAUCCUCUCUGUGUUUACUGCAGCCCAUGUGACACUGGCUACUUUCAGGGGAUCGUCCCUGGCCCGUGGACCUCAACGGUGAGGCUCACAGGUGCGGUGUCAGGUCCGCGGUCCUAGCAUCUGAGGCACUUGCCAGAACACUGGUCUUGGGGUCAAAGAAUGCCAGUGCCCUCAUCUGCAGUGAGUGGUUCCCUCCAUACACGCAGCCCUGAGUUUCUCAGCCUCCUUCGUCUUAAAGGCAGCGGGGAAGAGGGAAUUAAGUGAAUGAAAGAGUGUAUAUGUGUAGGUGAGACUGGGUCACCUUGCUGCAUUGUGGAAAACGGACAUAACACUGUGAACCAGCUGUGAUGGAAAAACUAAAAUUCACUUUAAAAAAAUUAAAAAAUAAUACGUGAACUGAGCACGUCCCAUGUGUCAGACCCUGUAAUGGGCUCUUUUUCAAUAGGCGCGAGCCACUUGAUGGUGAGAAAUAACCAGGAAGGCCGUGACUGAUAUGUCUUUUCCCUACCAGGCUUUGAUAUGGGAUGUAUCUCACUCAACGCUGACCCACCGCAGGUGGGGAUGAGACUCAACCCAGAGGAAUUAGCACCAUUAGCACCAGCACUGGGAACAGGUACUUUCAGCCAGAAGCGUUUCUGGUCUCCAUCACCCAGUGAAGAGCCUUUCAUUGGGACCCCACCUUGGAGACAGAGGGACACGGUGCGGGCACCAAGGGCCCUUCUAGAGGCAGUGCAGCCGGCCGCAGGCCUGGGGGCUGGAGUUGAAACUUGACCCCGGAGGCCAAGCCGCGGUGUGCCCCCCGCCUCUCUUUCAAGGGUGUGGUGACUCUGCCAAGGUCAAGCAGGUAGUACAAGCAUCCACAGUGUGCCCGUGUGAGGGUCAGCCAGUUCAAGAGUGAGAAGGGAAAGCGUCCCUUCAGUUCUCAGCCCCGGGGUGGACAUGGCUGGAUGCUCAGGAUGAGGCCUGGGGCUGCUCCCCCCCCCCCAUUUCUAAUCAUCAACCCAGCUUCCAGGGCCGCCGCAGAGCCGAAAGCGUCCAGAGCAAUACCAGCCAAAAUAAGGGUUUUAGGGAUGACUGGGGGUCACGGCCCACCGCCCAGGCUGCUCUUUGGGGAAGAAGGUCCUGCUUCUCCUCAUGUCUGUACUGGAUGUGGGGAAAGUGUUGCCCUUUCACAGGGGAGCCGGACCUUCCAAAGCCCCACACCGGGGGAGAGUGGGGAGAGAGACAGGGAACCCCUCACUUCCCCGAGCCGCUGCCCCCGUGGGCUCUCCCCGCCAGUCCUUCUGCAUCUUCUCACCUCCAUCCCCAGGAGCUCUGCUGGCUGCUGGUGGCUUGGGCCUAUUUACAGGAUGGGACAUGUAACAAGUGGUCUCUCCCGACAGCAGGAUGACCUCUGUAAUGACACAGCCGGAGAAAACAGCGGCUCUGUUGGGGAGGCAGGUUUUGCUCCCCCAGGGGGGGAAUGGUUUAUUGAGAUAAAUGUCGCUGCAGACUCAGUUUCCUUCCACAAAUUUCCCUCUGCCAGGCCAAUUUCUUCCUUGUUCCCGUGGACUCACCGAGCCGCCUGGAUGCUGAGUCUUGGCAGUUCUGGUCACCUGCUCUCUCUAAAUCGUGAUGUACUCCCCCACUCACUUUUGCAGCUCUGAGGACCCAUCUGGAAAGAUUCACACUCCAUCCUUGCCACAGACCUCCACCAGUGGCCCCUCUGCAGCUCCCUGACUGGCCUGGCACCCUCUUCCAGUCCCAGAAAGGGUGAGUGGAGGGGGGGACCUGGGUACCACUCCUUGGGAGGAAGGCUGUGAACCCGCCCACGGCUCCGAGUUCCUCCCACCACCAAAUGUUCCCAGGCUUGUCAGGUCAUAGCCACAAGCAAAAGGUAGGCUGCAGCCAGGGCUAGUGGAACCCACAGAUGGGCCAGCCACGUCCAGAUAGCAGUGUGCUCUUUGCAGAAGAGGCUAAACUUUUUUGUGAGGUUUGUCUUUUAUCAUUAUUAUUUUUCUUUGGGGGGGCCUCACCUGCAGCACAUGGAAGUUCCCAGGCUAGGAGUCCACUCGGAGCUGCAGCUGCUGGCCUACACCACAGCCACAGCAACGCCGGAUCCGAGCCACAUCUGGGACCUACACCACAGCUUGUGGCACUGCCAGAUCCUUAACCCACUGAGUGAGGCCAGCCAGGCUCACUCAUCAAGUCUCUGAUGUCUGGUGUCUGGAGCUGGACAGUAAGAAGUCACAAGAGCCAAUUGUUAAACUUUUGGAGAUUUUGCUAGCUAGUUGGUAAAUACAGGCAUCAUUAAAAAUUGUUAUACAAACUUAAAAUGAAAUGGAUCAUGUUAAGAACCCAGGCAAUAAAUUCUCAAAACUUAUCACUUCUGAAUUAUUUUACUAUGUAUCACUAUUGCUGAUGCUCUGGGGGUGAUUUCUGCCUGUUUUGUCUGUGUGGUGUGAUCUGAGGCACUUCUUCCUAACUCUGUGCUCAGCACUAUCACGUGACUCCAGCCAUGGUGGAAACAUUUACACCAUGGAAAUUGGCACCCGUCAGGGUUGUACAUUUUUUCCCAGAGCCCCAUUUGUCGAGCAUUUCCCCAGUGGCCUUUCGCUGUUGGUCUGAGCAACUUAGACCUUAACUAAUUCUCAGAUUCCAGAGACAGUGGGGGGGGGCACCCACUAUGGGGUACUGGUCACGUGAACAAGAACAGGUGUGAUGAGCAGGGGGACAGCCAUCUUUGGGAAACCCAGUCUGCUCAGGGAUAACGGAAGGAUCUUUCUUGGAGGAGUUGAGACAUAAUUGACGCAAAGUAUUUCUCUGAGUACCAGGGAGGUGACUUCCUCGGCAAAUGGCCCUGUCACAAGGACACACAGCACUUUCUGUGCUCGGCGUGGCAGACACCCUUCAGGAGGGGCUUCUCCACGUAGCUGCUUCCCUCCGCCCCGUGGUCAGCUACCUGAGGGAAGGGCUGUCGAUUUGUUCAUCUUGCACCCCUGAAGCCUAGCACGCAAGGUGUGUACUCAUUCGUUUCUGUAACAGGUGAGACGUCUCCUUCGCGAAGCGCAUCAGAAGCGCUCGAUGCAACCUUUGCAAAGCCAGAUGCCUUGAGCCCAGGCUCCCCUGCCCAGCGCCAAAGCCUCGAGCAGGACCUUGCAGGUAGCGCAUCCUUUGUGUGAGCAGCAUCGGCUCGCCUAGCUCUGCAGGGGGCUCCCCAGAGCAAAUCAUAACCCCCGUAAAGCAUCUUCAAAGCCUUGGAUGUGCCUGGUCGCUGAUACUGACAAAGGGCCCCCCUUGCUGGCACUCCCCGCCCCCGGAGUGCUCGCACCCCUAGGCUACUUUGUCCCCUGCCUUCCAGUCCCCUUCAGCACCUCCUCUGGCCUCCUCUCUCACCUGGGCUGAGGGGGAGCCUGACCCUGGGGCUCCCAACCAAACUCGGCAGCAGGUUUAGCUGUGGGUUUCUCAACCAGACUCCUGGGCAAGUGAGACGACAGUGGGUAGGGAGACCUGGGACUGGUCAUCGCUUCUUUGUGCCACCACCCUGGGCUGGCCCCUCCGGUCCCAAAGAUGACCCGGCCUUCACCCCUCACCCAACAAUGGGCGAAACCCGGAGGGAGGAAGAUGGGCAUCUUGCUUGGUACAUGGUUCUCUGUUUUGCGAUUUUUUUAAAUUUGCUUUUUAGGGCCACACCCGCAGCAUGUGGAAGUUCCCAGGCUAGAGGGCAAAUCGGAGCUACAGCUGCCAGCCUACACCACAGCCAGAGCAACAUCAGAUCCGAGCUGCGUCUACAACCUACACCGCAGCCCACCACAAAGCCGGAUCUUAACCCUCUGAGCAAGGCCAAGGAUUGAAACUGUAUCCUCAUAGAUAUUAACAGUCAGGCUCACAAAUGGAACUCACCUUCUGCUUUUUUUUUUUUUUAAUCAUUUUUUUAAAGUUACAGUAUAGUUGAUUUACAAUGUUCUGUCAAUUUCUGCUGUGCAGCAAUGUGACCAAGUCAUACAUAUACACAUUAUAUAUACUUGUGUGUAUAUAUAUAUAUAUAUUUUUUCAUUUUGUUUUGUUUUUUUCAGGGCUGCACCCACAGCAUAUGGAGAUUCCCAGGCUAGGAGCUGAAUCGGAGCUGUAGCUGCUGGCCUAUACCACAGCCGCAGCAACGCCAGAUCCUUAACCCACUGGGCAAGGCCAGGGAUUGAACUUAUGUCCUCAUGGAUCCUAGUCAGAUGUUUCUGCUGGGCAUUCUUUUUCUCAUUUUAUCUUCCCUCGUGGUCUAUCCCAAGAGACUGGAUAUAGUUCCCUGUGCUGUAGAGCAGGGCCGCAUUGCUGAUCCAUUCUCAAUGUGAUAGUUUGCAUCUACCAACCCCACAUGCCCAGUCCAUCCCACCCCCUCCCUUGUCACAUGUUAAGAGGGAGGAAAAGUCCCCAGAGGCCCCAAAGCAGACCUGACUCAUAUUUCACUCACCGCAGUCCUUCACACGGCCCCUCCCAAAGCAACCCCUGCCCGGGGGCCGGCAGACCCAUGAUAGACUUCAACAGACACAGCUGGGGCCCUGGGGACAGUGGAGCCACCAGGUCUUGGGGGCGGGGGGGCAGAGAAGUCCUACACUCCCUCCCGGACAGCCAGCCCAGCCCAGGUAGGGAAGCAGGACUUGUUGAGGCGCCUCAGAGAAGGACAGAUUUAUUUCUGCUGGCUGCGCAAGGCCAAGGGCAAGAGUGCAGGGCUGAACAGAGAAGGACUUUUGGAGGUAAGGGUGGGCGAGGUAGGUCCUCGCCUCAAACAGUGUGCAUCUUAAUGACCAAACAGGAGCUCAUUCCUUUCCUGCUUUGUCCCUUCCCUCUCUCGCUUCCUCGCUCUCUCUUUCUCUCUCCCACUCUGUCUCUCUCUUUCUUCUUUUUAAAAGAUCUUUCAGUCCAAGCAUUGUACCGAGUGCCAAAUAUUGACACAGAAAGAAUGUUACGUUAACUCUUUUCAGUGCUGGGAAGUCAUUAGACUCAGACCCUUGUAGAUUGUACUCUCAAGCUCUGAGCAUUUUUUUUUUUUAAGUCUUGGUUUUUUCACAAAUGAGGUCAGGAAGUGCCUGAGAAUGGAUCCUUGUGGAUUAGUAUUCAGCGCUCCAUUUCUGGUGAAGCAGGAAGUGCAUACAAAGCUGCCAUGAAUAUGCUCUUGGCCAUUUGAAAAGAUCCAGCAUCGCUUCAAGUUCAAAAAUAACUCUGUUGAGUGUGGUCGCAGCCGGGCACGGGGAAUUUUCUGAAAUCAAAAGCAGCUAGUCCCCCAGGACAGAGGCGAGGUCAUUCCUCUGAGCUUUCUAAUAACAGAUGACUUUACUGCCUG